GAAUUGCGAUAAGUAAUGUGAAUUGCAGAAUUCAGUGAAUCAUCGAAUCUUUGAACGCACCUUGCACCUUUUGGUAUUCCGAAAGGUAUGCCCGGUUGAGUAUUAUGAACAUCUCAAUCCUCUGGCUUCUGAUCGCAAAGGUCGCACGUUCGGCGAAGUCGUCUGUCGGGACGACGGUAGCUGAAGUGCGACUUGGAAGCCUGUUGGACUUGGACUUGAGCGACACGUCGGUCCUCCACGAUCGACCCGCUUGAAAUGUAUUAGCUGGCGACCCGCCUUACGGUUCCACUCGGCGUAGUAAGUUCUAUUCGUCGAGGACGCCUCUUUCGAGGUGGCCGAAAGCGCGCGUUUGAAGCCGCUUCCAGUCGUCUUUGGACGCUUUGAAUCUUUAAUCUCAACUCGGGUAGGACUACCCGCUGAACUUAAGCAUAUCAAUAAGCGGAGGAAAAGAAACU
rnacentral:rRNA from 1 species